GAUCUCCCGGAAGUCCCUUUCGCUCCCAGCGCUUCGCGUACCAGGAAGGGGACGGCGUCCUGAAAGGGACAUUUGAAAAACGGAGGCAACGCGUCUAUUAAUUAGGUGGCGGCGCCUGGGGUCGCAGCACUCCAGAGGCUGAGAGUCUCGCCCUUUUGCCUAGUGGAGGAGCUCGGCUCACUGCAAGCUCCGCGCCACAACCCCCCUGCCGCCCCAGGUUCAAGAGAUUCUCCUGCCUCAGUCUCCCGAGUAGACUGGGAUUACAGAAUGCUGGGGUGGAAGAGUUCCCAGUUUUAAAGGAGAAGUACAAGAAGACCUGUAAUUGUUAGCAAGAUAUACAGAACACAGUGCACACAGCAGCGCACUUCUCAAGUCAGCUCCAGGUUCAAGCUCAAAGGCCUAAAGUUUUGCAAACAUCUGGUGAAGAGGAAGAUUUUUGAGACUCUCCCAGCCUAUUACAUAAAGGAAACAUAACCGAGAAUUUUGUCUAAAGGUUUUCAUUUGAAACAAAGCAAGAGCUUCUUUUCCCCACUCCGAAUUAAAACACAGCGCAACAGGGGCCACAUUUAUUUGGCAGGACAGUACCAAUAUGUGAACAUCCUCCUCCUCACUGCCGUUGGGGUGACUUGACUCAUAAGCAGCUGUUCUUACACAAAAUAUUAACCCGAACUGCUAGUGUCACACAGAAGGAAGUGGUCUUGAUUGUGUAUGUGGGCCAGCAUGUUCUACAAAUGCUGAAAGGUGGGAGAAGCACAAAUACAACCCACUCUUUAAAAAAACUAAAUAAUUCAAAGUAAAAUUUUCUAUCCCCGCCCCCUCCCCACCCUUGCCUUCUCCAAUAAUAAAAAGUAGAAUCCAGAUUUGGUUUGUAUCCUGACCAUUCACAAAGUGUCGUGCCACAGCACUUGCAUCAUUAGGGUUAUGGAUGAUCACAGUUCAUUUGCUUUGAAGAGACGUGUGUCUGCUCCUUCCUCCUCUUCUUGCCUUCAUGCUCAUGUUCUCUGGGGCAGCUGCUGAGGGUCUUUGAGGGCCACCAUGCUGUCUGGCUUCUUCCAAAAAUGUGUCCAAAUC
rnacentral:lncRNA from 10 species